AUACGGAGGGUGCAGGCGUUGUCGGGAUUUAUUGGGUUUAAAGGGUGCGUAGGUGGCGUGUUAAGUCAGUGGUGAAAGCCUGCAGCUCAACUGUAGAGGUGCCAUUGAUACUGACAUGCUUGAGUAUGGACGAGGUAGGCGGAAUUUGUGGUGUAGCGGUGAAAUGCAUAGAUACCACAAAGAACACCGAUAGCGAAGGCAGCUUACUGGACCAUAACUGACACUGAGGCACGAAAGUGUGGGUAGCGAACAGGAUUAGAAACCCUAGUAGUCC
rnacentral:rRNA from 1 species